AUGUCUUCCUCAAGCUCCCGCGCCACCUCGCGGAUGCAGAGUCGGGCGCAUGUGGACAUUCCUGUCUUCGUCUGUCCGCGGUGCCGGAUGGGCGUUGAUCGGAGGGUUUCUCACACACCGAGGAAUCAGAAUUGUCCGUUCUACGUGUGCAGCGAGAAUGAGGUGACAUGCUUCUUUCUUUGGGUCGAUGCUCUGGCCAAGACACUAAUGAAUGAACUGCAAGAAGAGCAUGAAGAAUGGUUGCACAUGCUGCCACAAACGGCAGUGGCCGCAACACGAGCUCCGAAAGAAGAGAUGGAGGGCAAAGCAUGCACUGACAGAGAGCUAGCUGUUGAGCUUAGGAUGUUGAAGAAGAAGGUUAGGGAGCUUGAAGAUCAAUCACAAAUACCAAUACCCAUUUGCAAUUACUUUUGGGCAUUGGUAGGUAUGGUAAUCGCACUGGUUGUAAUGAUGAAAAUGUAUGAAAAUGCAUGA
rnacentral:rRNA from 1 species